rnacentral:rRNA from 1 species
UAACCUGCCUGUAAGACUGGGAUAACUCCGGGAAACCGGGGCUAAUACCGGAUGCUUGUUUGAACCGCAUGGUUCAAACAUAAAAGGUGGCUUCGGCUACCACUUACAGAUGGACCCGCGGCGCAUUAGCUAGUUGGUGAGGUAAUGGCUCACCAAGGCAACGAUGCGUAGCCGACCUGAGAGGGUGAUCGGCCACACUGGGACUGAGACACGGCCCAGACUCCUACGGGAGGCAGCAGUAGGGAAUCUUCCGCAAUGGACGAAAGUCUGACGGAGCAACGCCGCGUGAGUGAUGAAGGUUUUCGGAUCGUAAAGCUCUGUUGUUAGGGAAGAACAAGUACCGUUCGAAUAGGGCGGUACCUUGACGGUACCUAACCAGAAAGCCACGGCUAACUACGUGCCAGCAGCCGCGGUAAUACGUAGGUGGCAAGCGUUGUCCGGAAUUAUUGGGCGUAAAGGGCUCGCAGGCGGUUCCUUAAGUCUGAUGUGAAAGCCCCCGGCUCAACCGGGGAGGG